GACGAACGCUGGCGGCGUGCUUAACACAUGCAAGUCGAACGGAAAGGCCCUGCUUUUGUGGGGUGCUCGAGUGGCGAACGGGUGAGUAACACGUGAGUAACCUGCCCUUGACUUUGGGAUAACUUCAGGAAACUGGGGCUAAUACCGGAUAGGAGCUCCUGCUGCAUGGUGGGGGUUGGAAAGUUUCGGCGGUUGGGGAUGGACUCGCGGCUUAUCAGCUUGUUGGUGGGGUAGUGGCUUACCAAGGCUUUGACGGGUAGCCGGCCUGAGAGGGUGACCGGCCACAUGGGGACUGAGAUACGGCCCAGACUCCUACGGGAGGCGGCAGUGGGGAAUAUUGCACAAUGGGCGGAAGCCUGAUGCAGCAACGCCGCGUGCGGGAUGACGGCCUUCGGGUUGUAAACCGCUUUCGCCUGUGACGAAGCGUGAGUGACGGUAAUGGGUAAAGAAGCACCGGCUAACUACGUG
rnacentral:rRNA from 1 species